UACGUAGGGGGCAAGCGUUGUCCGGAUUUAUUGGGCGUAAAGAGCGUGUAGGCGGCCGUACAGGUCAGCUGUGAAAACUCGAGGCUCAACCUCGAGACGUCGGUUGAAACCGUACGGCUAGAGUCCGGAAGAGGAGAGUGGAAUUCCCGGUGUAGCGGUGAAAUGCGCAGAUAUCGGGAAGAACACCAACGGCGAAAGCACUCUGCUGGGCCGACACUGACACUGAGAGACGAAAGCUAGGGGAGCGAAUGGG
rnacentral:rRNA from 1 species